AUUGAACGCUGGCGGCAGGCUUAACACAUGCAAGUCGAGCGGGGAAAAGUAGCUUGCUACUGGACCUAGCGGCGGACGGGUGAGUAAUGCUUAGGAAUCUGCCUAUUAGUGGGGGACAACAUCUCGAAAGGGAUGCUAAUACCGCAUACGUCCUACGGGAGAAAGCAGGGGAUCUUCGGGCCUUGCGCUAAUAGAUGAGCCUAAGUCGGCUUAGCUAGUUGGUGGGGUAGAGGCCUACCAAGGCGACGAUCUGUAGCGGGUCUGAGAGGAUGAUCCGCCACACUGGGACUGAGACACGGCCCAGACUCCUACGGGAGGCAGCAGUGGGGAAUAUUGGACAAUGGGGGGAACCCUGAUCCAGCCAUGCCGCGUGUGUGAAGAAGGCCUUAUGGUUGUAAAGCACUUUAAGCGAGGAGGGGGCUCUUUUGGUUAAUACCCAAGAUGAGUGGACGUUACUCGCAGAAUAAGCACCGGCUAACUCUGUGCCAGCAGCCGCCGUAAAAC
rnacentral:rRNA from 1 species